CCCUCCUGUUCUGGCGGCCCUGCCAGGAAGUGCUGUGUGCCGGGGUGAUUGUUUCAAAAGUGACACUGACAGAUGUCAUCAUGAAUAGCCAAUUGUGAGUGGGCAGGUCUCCCACAUGCUCAGAUGCAGCUGGAGAUGCCCCAAGAGGGCAAGACUGUUUGUUAGGAACAUAGGAAAUGACAGACUAGAUCAGAUUCAAAAUCCAUCUGUCCAACAGUGACCAGCACCAGAUUCUUCAGAGGAAGGUGUGAGAACCCACAGUGGGCAGAUGUGGGAUAAUCUACUUCCCAAAGCUUUAAAUUCUGUGACCAAACAGGGAGAAACAGGAUUCGCUCGCAGGCAGGAGGGAAGGCAGCUAUCUACCUGUCUCCAAUGAAAUAUAAGCCAGAUAAGACCAAAAACAGUAGAAGCCCCAUUUACACAGAAAUCAGCUAGGGGAUGGGAAGUCCACGGGGAGAGAACAGCAUGAGGCCAUCUUGCUUCUUGAAACAAGGUCAUUGAACUUUGGAAUAUAUAAGCAAGGACAGAAGACAUCUUUGGCAUCCAUCACUAGACAGGCACAAGGGGACAGAGCUCUUGCAAACUGGGAAAGAUGGGUCCUUCAACCAAGUUUGGGUUGAAGUGUCUGGGAACUGAAUAUAGGUGAGAAAAAACAUCUUGAAUAAAGCCAAUCCCUUGCUAGAUUAA